CUGGAAUUCGCCCUUAGAGUUCGAUCCUGGCUCAAGACGAACGCUGGCGGCGUGCCUAACACAUGCAAGUCGAACGGAACUUCUUUAAAAGAUUUCUUCGGAAUGAACUUGAUUAAGUUUAGAGGCGGACGGGUGAGUAACGCGUGAGUAACCUGCCUCUGAGAGGGGAAUAACAUUCUGAAAAGAGUGCUAAUACCGCAUAACAUAUAUUUAUCGCAUGGUAGAUAUAUCAAAGAUUUAUCGCUCAGAGAUGGACUCGCGUCCGAUUAGUUAGUUGGUGAGGUAACGGCUCACCAAGACCGCGAUCGGUAGCCGGACUGAGAGGUUGAACGGCCACAUUGGGACUGAGACACGGCCCAGACUCCUACGGGAGGCAGCAGUGGGGGAUAUUGCGCAAUGGGGGAAACCCUGACGCAGCAACGCCGCGUGAAGGAUGAAGGUCUUCGGAUUGUAAACUUCUUUUAUUAAGGAGGAAGAAAGUGACGGUACUUAAUGAAUGAGCUCCGGCUAACUACGUGCCAGCAGCCGCGGUAAUACGUAGGGAGCAAGCGUUGUCCGGAUUUACUGGGUGUAAAGGGUGCGUAGGCGGCUUUGCAAGUCAGAUGUGAAAUCUAUGGGCUCAACCCAUAGCCUGCAUUUGAAACUGCAGAGCUUGAGUGAAGUAGAGGCAGGCGGAAUUCCCCGUGUAGCGGUGAAAUGCGUAGAGAUGGGGAGGAACACCAGUGGCGAAGGCGGCCUGCUGGGCUUUAACUGACGCUGAGGCACGAAAGCGUGGGUAGCAAACAGGAUUAGAUACCCUGGUAGUCCACGCUGUAAACGAU
rnacentral:rRNA from 1 species